rnacentral:tRNA from 1 species
GGAGUUAUAAUCAACCAUGAUAUUUGACUUGCACUCAGAAAGUGCUCCCCUGAGGAGCUAACUUCA